rnacentral:rRNA from 1 species
AACGAACGCUGGCGGCAGGCUUAACACAUGCAAGUCGAGCGCCCCGCAAGGGGAGCGGCAGACGGGUGAGUAACGCGUGGGAAUCUACCCAUCUCUACGGAAUAACGCAUGGAAACGUGUGCUAAUACCGUAUACGUCCUUCGGGAGAAAGAUUUAUCGGAGAUGGAUGAGCCCGCGUUGGAUUAGCUAGUUGGUGGGUAAUGGCCUACCAAGGCGACGAUCCAUAGCUGGUCUGAGAGGAUGAUCAGCCACACUGGGACUGAGACACGGCCCAGACUCCUACGGGAGGCAGCAGUGGGGAAUAUUGGACAAUGGGCGCAAGCCUGAUCCAGCCAUGCCGCGUGAGUGAUGAAGGCCCUAGGGUUGUAAAGCUCUCUCACCGGUGAAGAUAAUGACGGUAACCGGAGAAGAAGCCCCGGCUAACUUCGUGCCAGCCGCCGCGGUAAGAC